ACGGUUUGGUUCGAUUUUUUGUGGUUUUUGAAAAUCGAAAUCUAAACCAAACUAUUUUGAAACGGUUUGAUUCGAUUUGAUGGAAAAGAAAACUGGACCCUAGCCAACGGUUUCAACUCAACGAUUUUGGUUCGAUUUGCUGUUUCGUGGUUUUUUUUGUGCAGCCCUAUUAAAUUCUCAACAGAUGAUAGGCCUGCCCCAAGUUGGAUCAUGAUGGCGAAAAUCAGUGGUUAGCUCUCAAGAUGGUAAUGCUAACAUAAGGCAGUGGCCGCUAAUGCAGUGGAGAAUUGGAAUUUGAUGGAAUACAUGAUCCUUCUUGGUAUUAAGAAGAGGGACAGAUAGAUUAUUGCUUGAGGAUGGUAGAUAUGAUGUGAUACUUUACUUGAGGAGGGAUUUUUGUGAAAGUGGGGCCAAAAUCCCACGUCGGCUAGACAUAGGAUGGAUAUUUUUAUAAGGGAAUUGGGCUACUCCAUCUAAUCGUUAACCUUUGGGAUGAAACCGCAGCUAUUCUCGGACAAUGAUUUCUUGAUUUGUUGACAUGCUAGAUGAAGGGAUCGAGCAAGGAUCAUCUUUCACGUCUUGGUUAAUUUCGGUUUCCAUUUGGUGAGGGCUUAAUUUAGAGCAUCAUAUCGUUGUAUUACUAUGCUGUACAAUUGUGUAAUUCAAUGACUUGUGUCGUGUUUGGUGUAAAUUGAAUUGUAUUAAUUACUUAGCCUAUGUUGGCUCAUGUUUGUGAACAAUCAACUCACUUUUUUAUACACAUUUUUAAAAACUUAGAAGUAGCA